UUUGUGUCACUGAUUUGACGUGGGGGAGGGGUCAAGAGGUUGAGGUGUGUACAAGGGACGAAUGCCUGUCCUUCCCGUUACGUCAUCAGUGCGAGCCCCAGACUGAGUGGAUCGAUCGAAAUGGAGGAACAGAGACAUUUGGGUGAUGGAUCACAGGUGGGCCUGUAGAGGCUUUUUGCACCUCUUUUGUUGUCAGUUUGUGUUCCUACCUCGUCUCCAAGCAAGCCUUGACUCCUUUACUAGUGGGUGGAAUAACCAUCCUCUCCACACAGAGAGUAAUCUAAGCCCAGACCAGUUGUGGGAAAUUGGACUCCUGCAAAACCCUGUCACUCCUCCAGUCCUAUCCGAGAUUGCACAAGACGACGACUCUUGACUGGGACACAGACAGUAUCUCUGACCAGCCGUGGACAGGAAUUGUAGUUCUUCCAGUCGAAUGCCCCUUAACUUAAGAACUUAAGGCCCAAAUUCAAACUUUUUUUAACCCAACCUCAC